rnacentral:rRNA from 1 species
GAUGAACGCUGGCGGCGUGCUUAACACAUGCAAGUCGAACGAUGAAGCCCAGCUUGCUGGGUGGUUUAGUGGCGAACGGGUGAGUAACACGUGAGUAACCUGCCCUUAACUCUGGGAUAAGCCUGGGAAACUGGGUCUAAUACCGGAUAGGAGCGUCCACCGCAUGGUGGGUGUUGGAAAGAUUUAUCGGUUUUGGAUGGACUCUCGGCCAAUCAGCUUGUUGGUGAGGUAAGGGCUCACCAAGGCGACGACGGGUAGGCGGCCUGGGAGGGGGGACGCCCACAAUGGGACUGAGAGACGCACCAGAAGCCUACCGGACGCAACGGGCGGGAAUAUUUCGCAAUGGGGGCGAGUCAGAGACAGCGGUCCCCGGUGAGGGAUGACGGCCUUCGGGUUGUAAACCUCUUUCAGUAGGGAAGAAGCGAAAGUGACGGUACCUGCAGAAGAAGCACCGGCUAACUACGUG